UGGGGAAUUUUGGACAAUGGGGGCAACCCUGAUCCAGCAAUGCCGCGUGUGUGAAGAAGGCCUUCGGGUUGUAAAGCACUUUUGUCCGGAAAGAAAACGCCGUGGUUAAUACCCGUGGGCGGAUGACGGUACCGGAAGAAUAAGCACCGGCUAACUACGUGCCAGCAGCCGCGGUAAUACGUAGGGUGCAAGCGUUAAUCGGAAUUACUGGGCGUAAAGCGUGCGCAGGCGGUCCGCUAAGACAGAUGUGAAAUCCCCGGGCUUAACCUGGGAACUGCAUUUGUGACUGGCGGGUUAGAGUAUGGCAGAGGGGGGUAGAAUUCCACGUGUAGCAGUGAAAUGCGUAGAGAUGUGGAGGAAUACCGAUGGCGAAGGCAGCCCCCUGGGCCAAUACUGACGCUCAUGCACGAGAGCGUGGGGAGCAAACCA
rnacentral:rRNA from 1 species